rnacentral:rRNA from 1 species
UGGGGAAUAUUGCACAAUGGGCGCAAGCCUGAUGCAGCCAUGCCGCGUGUAUGAAGAAGGCCUUCGGGUUGUAAAGUACUUUCAGUCGGGAGGAAGGUGGUAAGGUUAAUAACCUUAUCAAUUGACGUUACCGACAGAAGAAGCACCGGCUAACUCCGUGCCAGCAGCCGCGGUAAUACGGAGGGUGCAAGCGUUAAUCGGAAUUACUGGGCGUAAAGCGCACGCAGGCGGUUGAUUGAGUCAGAUGUGAAAUCCCCGGGCUUAACCCGGGAACUGCGUUCGAAACUGGCAGGCUAGAGUCUUGUAGAGGGGGGUAGAAUUCCAGGUGUAGCGGUGAAAUGCGUAGAGAUCUGGAGGAAUACCGGUGGCGAAGGCGGCCCCCUGGACAAAGACUGACGCUCAGGUGCGAAAGCGUGGGGAGCAAACAGG